rnacentral:rRNA from 1 species
UGAACGCUGGCGGCAGGCCUAACACAUGCAAGUCGAGCGGAUGAAGGGAGCUUGCUCCUGGAUUCAGCGGCGGACGGGUGAGUAAUGCCUAGGAAUCUGCCUGGUAGUGGGGGAUAACGUCCGGAAACGGGCGCUAAUACCGCAUACGUCCUGAGGGAGAAAGUGGGGGAUCUUCGGACCUCACGCUAUCAGAUGAGCCUAGGUCGGAUUAGCUAGUUGGUGGGGUAAAGGCCUACCAAGGCGACGAUCCGUAACUGGUCUGAGAGGAUGAUCAGUCACACUGGAACUAAGACACGGUCCAGACUCCUACGGGAGGCAGCAGUGGGGAAUAUUGGACAAUGGGCGAAAGCCUGAUCCAGCCAUGCCGCGUGUGUGAAGAAGGUCUUCGGAUUGUAAAGCACUUUAAGUUGGGAGGAGGGGCAGUAAGUUAAUACCUUGCUGUUUUGACGUUACCAACAGAAUAAGCACCGGCUAACUUCGUG